GUUUUUUUACUUCUUGAAGAUAAUAAACAACUAAAUUUUUCUUACACGAAAAAUCCUGAAUAUUUUAAAACCACCUUUUUCUUCAUUUAUAAAUAUAUAUACAUGCACACACUAUGGAAGAAACACAAAUUGCGAGGGUUUUGGAUUUAUUUAAUUUAAAAAAAAAAUGAUAUGGGUUAUAUUGAUAAGCAAGAGCUCAUAACAAUACUGAAAUCUUUAGGGUUUAUAAUAUGUAAUGAUAUGUUCGUAAAUAAUAAAAAUUUCUACACGAUUGAUGAUUUAAAUGACUUUGUUUAUAAACUUAAAAGUAAUUAUUAUGCGAAGAAGAAAGUUGAAAAAUGUAUUCAAUUUUUAAACCCUAACAAUGACAAAAUAAAUACGAUCAUUUUAAAAAAGUUAUUGUGUGAACAUGGAAACAAGUUCACAGAAGAAGAGUUUAAAAAAUUUCUUGUUGAUGUUCCAGUAGACGACGAUGGGAACAUAAGCCACUCUGAUUUCAUUGAAACGUAAGAGAAAAAAAAAAACAAAAAAAAAAAAAAAAAAGAGCGUAACAUAUAUGCAUUAAUUGUAAUUAUGAUUAGAAAAACAAAGCAAAACACACAUACAUUAAUUUUAAUAAGGAUUAAAAAAUAU
ensembl:lncRNA